AUCCAGAUGGCGAGUUCCAAAUAGGACAAAAUGCGCAUCCUGGCUGGAU
rfam:Trichobilharzia regenti genome assembly, scaffold: TRE_scaffold0001678